rfam:Aedes aegypti strain Liverpool supercont1.239 genomic scaffold, whole genome shotgun sequence.
UGUCCAGGAACUCCUAUCCCUACCUUCCCGCGGUGCAGCCUGGGGUACGAGUAACCAUAGGAAAGAUCGGGUAACCAACCCCGGUGGGACCUAGGACGUAUGCUGAUAGGGAAGG